AUGCGGGAACUCUGGAGGGGUGGCGUUUGCAGAUUGAAGCAUUUGGGAAGGAGCAAUCACAGACAACGUCAUUUUCUCAUUUUCACUUUCCAUUGUCUGGCGUCCCCUUCUCACAGCAUCCUUUAGGGGCGCAAAAACGCCGUUUGGCAUCCCCCCGAAACUACACUGAGAGCAGGAAAAAGUGACGCACUCACUGGGCUAUUUACACGGCCGCGUAUUUUUGUGAUGAGAGGACGUGCCACCACAAUGAGACUCUAUGACGAGACAGCAGAUUAGGACAUUUCCUCUAAAAUGAGUCAACAAGAGGAGAGAGAGGAGGACGCUGCCUCUAUAAGCUGUGAACAACCCAUGAAGAGUCAGCCCUCUGCCUUCAGUGACGCAGAAAUGACCUCUGAGCCCAAUGUCAGUAUGAGCAGGAAGAAAAGACAGAGAUCA